GAUCAUGGCUCAGGAUGAACGCUGGCGGCGUGCUUAACACAUGCAAGUCGAACGGGAAACCUUUUAUUGAAGCUUCGGCAGAUUUAGCUGGUUUCUAGUGGCGGACGGGUGAGUAACGCGUGGGUAACCUGCCCUAUACAGGGGGAUAACAACCAGAAAUGGUUGCUAAUACCGCAUAAGCGCACAGGACCGCAUGGUCCGGUGCGAAAAACUCCGGUGGUAUAGGAUGGACCCGCGUUGGAUUAGCCAGUUGG
rnacentral:rRNA from 1 species